ACUGCCACAAGCACCUUCGCAACGAGUAAAAACAAUGAUACGAAGCAUCACCUAAACGAUGAAACGAAGCCACAACACAACAACACCAAAGGGUUGCAUGCACUGCUAGAUGAACGGAAGAAGAACAAGAAGAAGAUUUGAUAGCAGAACAGGCACAACAAAGCAUGAGGCAGGCACAUGACCGAGUCGCAGUGAGUAAAGAACUUGUUGAGACCGAGGCAAGUUGUGCAUAGAGAGAGAAAGAGCAAAGUGAUGCGGCAAAGAGAAAUAAAGAAAGAGAGGGGAAAUGGGCAACUGGGAAUCGGGACUUAAGAAAAUGGGUUUUAGAUUUGGGCACAACUGCACAAG
rnacentral:misc_RNA from 1 species